GCUUCGCUAGUCUCUAUCUGGGAGAUAGUAAAUGCAGAUGUUAAGAGACAUUGCGCUCGCUCGUAUUGCGCUUGUUGUUGCCCGUAAUGCAGUUAGCGGAAGACAAAAGGUCAAUUCUUAAAGUCCGGGAAGGCAAAACUAAUCUUCCGCGUUAAUUUUCCGCCGAGUACGAGCACACUUACGGUGACGCGUUUUAAUUAAAAUCUGAAUAGACAGUAAUCAGAACGGGCAAUGUCCUGGUGAGUACGCUGGAUGCGAAAGGAAGGACUUCCCAUUCCAACGGGGCUUUCUUCGUUUCCUUAGCAACAUGGAGUCUGUAAUCCGCGUCGAAAUCACCACUUCUAAACCAUUUAAACCACUCCUCACGCGUAUCGGAUACAGCAUUCUCACUAUAAGUCCUACAAACGAGUCUUUUCUUCAGCAGUCUUCUUUUAAUUAAACAGAAACAGAAUGCAGUGGCAAAUAUGCACUUUACUUGGUCCCUUUUAAAUGUAUUAGAAACGUUUCUAGAGAGACAAGCAUUAAACAUGUGUACAUAUGUAAUGUUUGUUAUAUACUACACUUUCGAAUGUAGAAUAUAAAAUAUUUAAAAAAUAAAAAUUAUUUAUUUCACAUUAUUA